CCUACGGGAGGCAGCAGUGGGGAAUAUUGCGCAAUGGGCGAAAGCCUGACGCAGCGACGCCGCGUGAGUGAUGAAGGUCUUCGGAUCGUAAACCUCUUUCAGCAGGGAAGAACGGUCACUGUGCUAAUCAGCAGUGAAUUGACGGUACCUGCAAAGGAAGCACCGGCUAACUCCGUGCCAGCAGCCGCGGUAAUACGGAGGGUGCGAGCGUUAAUCGGAAUUACUGGGCGUAAAGCGCUCGUAGGCGGUAUGUCAAGUCAGGGGUGAAAUCCCCGCGCUGAACGUGGGAACUGCCUGUGAAACUGGUAAACUGGAGUGUUGGAGAGGAUAGUGGAAUUCCAGGUGUAGGAGUGAAAUCCGUAGAUAUGUGGAGGAAUAUCAGUGGCGAAGGCGACUAUCUGGAACAAAACUGACGCUGAGGAGCGAAAGCGUGGGUAGCAAACAGGAUUAGAUACCCGAGUAGUC
rnacentral:rRNA from 1 species